GCGCCUAUAGCUUAAUGGAUAGAGCAUCUGACUACGGAUCAGAAGGUGUGGGUUCGACUCCUGCUAGGCGCG
rfam:Lasius niger Lnig_2.1_16139, whole genome shotgun sequence.